ensembl:lncRNA
GUUUGAAAGUGCACAUACUGGUCAUAUUUAUACAACAACAGCCCCUGUGUGAAAAGCGACAACAAACUAACCAAAAAGGAUUCAAUAGAUUAACAAAAUGUUGUUUAUGUAAUAAUAUAAUUUGAUGAAGGACAGUUACUGCCUUACUUUACACUCCUCUCUGGCUUAAAAGGCUUUUAUCCUCAUGCCAAAAGGAUUUCUGUGUUGGUUUUUUUCUACAUUUCUUAACACCGUGUAAUCAUGUUUUGGUUUCGAGCGUCUCAAAUGGUGCCCUGUUCCCUGUGUAGUGCACUACUUCCUAUUGACACUGGUCUAAAGUAGUGCACUACUUCCUAUUGACACUGGUCUAAAGUAGUGCACUACUUCCUAUUGACACUGGUCUAAAGUAGUGCACUACGUCUUAUUGACACUCUAGUCUAAAGUAGUGCACUACUUCUGAUCAAAGCCGUUGACACUCUGGUCUAAAGUAGUGCCCUACGUCUUAUUGACACUCUGGUCUAAAGUAGUGCACUACGUCUUAUUGACACUCUGGUCUGAAGUAGUGCACUACGUCUUAUUGACACUCUGGUCUGAAAUAGUGCCCUACGUCUUAUUGACACUCUGGUCUAAAGUAGUGCCCUACGUCUUAUUGACACUCUGGUCUGAAGUAGUGCACUACGUCUUAUUGACACUCUGG